rnacentral:rRNA from 1 species
AUACGGAGGGUGCAAGCGUUAUUGGGAAUCACUGGGCGUAAAGGGUGCGUAGGCGGUUUGAUAAGUCUGAUGAGAAAUCCUAUGGCUCAACCAUAGAACUGCAUUGGAAACUGUCAGACUAGAAUACUUAAGGGGCAGAUGGAAUUAGUGGUGUAGGGGUAAAAUCCGUAGAUAUCACUAGGAAUACCGAAAGCGAAAGCGAUCUGCUGGGAAGUUAUUGACGCUGAGGCACGAAAGCGUGGGGAGCAAACGGGAUUAGAAACCCCAGUAGUCC